UACGGAGGAUGCAAGCGUUAUCCGGGAUGAUUGGGCGUAAAGCGUCCGCAGGUGGCUAUGUAAGUCUGCUGUUAAAGAGUGAGGCUCAACCUCAUAAAAGCAGUGGAAACUACAUGGCUAGAGUGCGUUCGGGGCAGAGGGAAUUCCUGGUGUAGCGGUGAAAUGCGUAGAUAUCAGGAAGAACACCGGUGGCGAAAGCGCUCUGCUAGGCCGCAACUGACACUGAGGGACGAAAGCUAGGGGAGCGAAUGGG
rnacentral:rRNA from 1 species